UCUACAGAAUGAUCACUGUAUGACAUCAAAGUACCGCGAGAGCGAUAAGAGAGCACACGGAUCCAAUGCAUUCCAAUCUCCCCAGAUGUAAUAUAUAUAAAUAUAUAUCGGUGGUUGAAUAAAAAUAUUUGGACAUCAUUUAUAAAAAUUACCUCAACUUAGCACCAGCAAGCUUGUAAGCUAGACAGUUAGCAUCAGCUAACAAUAUUUACUUUUUUUCAGUACUGUUAUGAAUAAACAUUCAUGUCUGUCUACUCGUUAAUUUAAUCCACCACUGUAUUUCAUACCUGGUACCACACGCUCUGGUGUCCUGCUGGUGCUGCUGGAGGUUGCUGGUGGCGACGCUGCUAUCACCAGUUGGGACGUUGAGGCAUCACUGCACGGAGAAAGUGCUAACGAGUAGGGUUGGGCGAUGUCCCUUAAAUUGGCAGUUGACGAUGUUUACAGUAAAACAUCGCGAUGGACGAUGAUAUCGUCGGGGGGGGGGGGGGGGGGGGGGGGGGGGGGGGGGGGGGGGGGGGGGGGGGGGGGGGGGGGGGGGGGGGGGGGGGGGGGGGGGGGGGGGGGGGGGGGGGGGGGGGGGGGGGGGGGGGGGGGGGGGGGGGGGGGGGGGGGGGGGGGGGGGGGGGGGGGGGGGGGGGGGGGGGGGGGGGGGGGGGGGGGGGGGGGGGGGGGGGGGGGGGGGGGGGGGGGGGGGGGGGGGGGGGGGGGGGGGGGGGGGGGGGGGGGGGGGGGGGGGGGGGGGGGGGGGGGGGGGGGGGGGGGGGGGGGGGGGGGGGGGGGGGGGGGGGGGGGGGGGGGGAUCACGAAAGAGCUGGGUGAUGUAGAAUAUUUGGCCCUGACAACGGACAUGUGGUCCAGCUGCAAUAUGAUGCCCUACAUGUCAGUGACAGUGCAUUAUGUAAAUAAAGAGUGGACACUGCAGUCCAAAUGCUUACAAACUUGUUUCAUGCCCGAAAGCCAUACAGCAGAUAAUUUGGAAGAAGCACUGCGCGUGGCAAUUAAUGACUGGAAACUACAGGAGAAACAAAUUGCCUGUAUAACUACCGACAAUGGGGCGAAUAUUGUUGCAGCCAUCCGGCAGUUGAAAUGGCCAUGGUUAAGUUGCUUUGGGCACAACUUGAACCUGGCCAUAAACAACUCGCUUGCACAACAGAGGGCCAGCACAGACCGAUCUUUUGGGGUUUGCCGGGCAGUCAACACUGCGUUUUCGCACAGCUGGCUAAUGCGACGUGAAUUGCAGAAAGCACAAGUGGAAAUGAAACUCCCUGAGCACUCAUUGAUCACGGACUGUGCAACACGAUGGGGCUCAAAACAGCAAAUGGUGGAGAGAAUGCUGG
rnacentral:lncRNA from 12 species